UCUUAGAAACUCAAGCAUAGAGUUCAGAGAAAUGUGAGCACCUGUAUGAAGGGAAGAUGGGUACAAAGGAAUGAGUGGGGGUUCCUCUUCACCAUCCCUAAAACUGUGGCAGUAUUUAGCAGCAUCACUGAUAAGGCCGGUCUCAGAACUGUGCAAACAUCUGCCCUGCCUGGCUCCUCAAUGAAAAAGCUUCUACCUCUUAACAGAUAUUUCCACAAACUCACUGUCCACCUCCCUGUUACAGCAUAAGUUGUACUUCUUUGUCCUUUUCUGGAAAUUGUGAAGGUGAAUGUCAUUUGCAGCAUGCAUUUGUAUAGUGGAUGGAAGUUCUCCAUGGACCAGGCUUUCUCCAAGGCAAUGGGGACCUAUGGAAAUCUUUGAAGCAGAGGAGUGUCUUACUCAGAACUGUUCUAUUAAAUGAUUAUUGUGCAGCGGGGUGGAAGCUGGAUUAGCAGGAGAAACCCUGGAGACAA